rnacentral:rRNA from 1 species
UACGAAGGGGGCUAGCGUUGCUCGGAAUCACUGGGCGUAAAGGGUGCGUAGGCGGGUCUCUAAGUCAGGGGUGAAAUCCUGGAGCUCAACUCCAGAACUGCCUUUGAUACUGAGGAUCUUGAGUACGGGAGAGGUGAGUGGAACUGCGAGUGUAGAGGUGAAAUUCGUAGAUAUUCGCAAGAACACCAGUGGCGAAGGCGGCUCACUGGCCCGUUACUGACGCUGAGGCACGAAAGCGUGGGGAGCAAACAGG